AAGAUUAUAGGUUAAAUUAGACCCUUGGCCUUCAAAGCCGAAAGUGGAGAGUGUACCUGAUCUUG
rnacentral:tRNA from 1 species